rnacentral:rRNA from 1 species
UACAGAGGUCUCAAGCGUUGUUCGGAUUCAUUGGGCGUAAAGGGUGCGUAGGUGGCGCUGUAAGUCGGGUGUGAAAUUUCGGAGCUUAACUCCGAAACUGCAUUCGAUACUGGAUGGCUUGAGUUCGGGAGAGGGAUGCGGAAUUCCAGGUGUAGCGGUGAAAUGCGUAGAUAUCUGGAGGAACACCGGUGGCGAAGGCGGCAUCCUGGACCGAUACUGACACUGAGGAGCGAAGGCCAGGGGAGCAAACGGG